UUAAAUGUAUAUUAGCUGAAUUUUAAUAUUUUCAAAAAAAAUAUCACAAUUAUUUUUAUUUAGUAAAAUAGAUUUUUAAAAUAUAGAUUAUCAAACGAGCUAUAUUAUCCUAUAUUAGUAAAAACAGUUUUUAAAAAUUGAAUAACCAAAUGAAUUUUUUUUAUUUUAUUUUCUCAAAUACAAAUUUACAAAAUAGAUUUGUAAAACAGAUUUUAAAAAUUAAAAUUGAGAAGAGAUCCAAACAGGCCCUUAGACUUCCAAUAUUUUUCCCUUGGAUUAACACUAGAUUUUAAAACAAACAUCUUCAUAGAGAGAUUAUAUUCAUAUUUCAUAGUGAUUCUUCCAUUUGAUGACAUGUUUGUCUUGAAAUUUCCUGAUAUUUUCAUUUUCGAAGGUUGAAUGGCGCAAGGAAUGUUGAACUUUGAAGCUUCUUCAACAAUGGCUAACAAAAACAAUGAAGAUGGGAUGGAUGGAGCAGACAAAACGGUGAACAAUGAAGAUGGGAUGGAUGGAGCAGACAAAACGGUGAAGAGGAAGGAAAGAGUGAGUUGAAAUUAGACUUUUGACUUUAAAUUGGAUUAAGUUUCAUUAAUUAAGGGACAAUUUGGUCAUUUUAAAAUGGUAAAUUACCACCUGUUAAAAAUUUAAAUGAAAAAUGUAUAAAUAUUAUAACAUAUUAAUGUCACAUCAGAUUUUUUGUUGAUUGAAUUAA
rnacentral:lncRNA from 1 species